rnacentral:rRNA from 1 species
AACGGCGAGUGAAGCGGCAGGAGCUCAAAUUUGAAAUCUGACCUCCUCCGGGGGUCCGAGUUGUAAUUUGCAGAGGAUGCUUCGGGUGCGGCCCCCGUCUAAGUUCCUUGGAACAGGACGUCAGAGAGGGUGAGAAUCCCGUCUUGGGCGGGCGGCCCGCGCCCGUGUGAAGAUCCUUCGACGAGUCGAGUUGUUUGGGAAUGCAGCUCUAAGCGGGUGGUAAAUUUCAUCUAAAGCUAAAUACUGGCCGGAGACCGAUAGCGCACAAGUAGAGUGAUCGAAAGGUUAAAAGCACCUUGAAAAGGGAGUUAAACAGCACGUGAAAUUGUUGAAAGGGAAGCGCUUGCGGCCAGACUCGGGGGCGGGGUUCAGCGGGCGCUCGUCGCCCGUGCACUCCCCGCGCCCCGGGCCAGCAUCAGUUUCGACGGCCGGUCAAAGGCCCCCGGAAUGUGUCGUCUCUAGGGACGUCUUAUAGCCGGGGGUGCAAUGCGGCCCGUCGGGACUGAGGAACGCGCUCCGGCUCGGAUGCUGGCGUAAUGGCCGUAAGCGGCCCGUCUUGAAACACGGACCAAGGAGUCUAACAUCCACGCGAGUGUUCGGGUGUCAAACCCGUGCGCGCAGUGAAAGCGAACGGAGGUGGGAGCCUUUGGGCGCACCAUCGACCGAUCCUGAAGUCUUCGGAUGGAUUUGAGUAGGAGCGUGGCCGUUGGGACCCGAAAGAUGGUGAACUAUGCCUGAGUAGGGUGAAGCCAGAGGAAACUCUGGUGGAGGCUCGCAGCGGUUCUGACGUGCAAAUCGAUCGUCAAAUUU